AAAAGGGCAUGCAACUGGAAAUAAAGAAGAUGCUGACAGAAAGAAUGGCCAAGGGUAGAUUUUUCAAGGGUCUGACUAAGGAGUUUAGAGAUUUAUUCAGUAGGCUUUGAGAGCCAAGGUUUUUAAACAGGUAGCUUCUUCAUAAAGAUUAAUCUGGUUGUGGAAGUGCAGGUGCAUUAGACUGGGGAGAAAUAAGAGCUUGAGAUGUUACUUAGAAAAGGCCUCUUUUGUUGGAAAAGGCCAUAAAAGAGGUAGUGAACCAGAGAGUGGGAAUAGGAAGAGGGACAGAGACAAGACUCCUGGGAGAAAGUUCAUUGUAAAAUUGGCUUUGGGAAUCAUGGAAGAGAGAGGAAUCAAAAAUGGUUUCGAGAGCUUCAGAAUCUUUUGUGGCAGCCUGAACACAAAAACACAGAACCCACCAUCCUCCACCGAGUCCCAGCUCUGACCCUGAGAGCAUCAUGCCUAGUCACUUUCCUGAUUGUUUUUAUCCUCUUCUUGUCCCCAGGAAACACUCCACCACCACCCCAUCCCUGAGCCACAAAAAAGCUUGAUACCCGGUGAUGCUGGCCCAAACUCAGCCCCCAUGGGUUAGGCGUGACCACUGCUGUAGAAACUGGAGGCAUACUUUGCUUUGACUGCUGCUGACAGGCUCACCUUCCACCAUGACGGUAAGCUGACUGGUCACUGCCUCCCUCAUUAACUCUUUCUACUUCAUACGAUUAAAUAUCUUUGCCUGGGGCUGCUCAAAAUAAGCCUGUUCCUUCCGUUCCUGCUUAACAUGAUUUGGGAAGAAAAAGGUGGGUCUAAAUUCUCCCUAAAACCCAGGAGUUCCUGCCGGCUUUUUCUUGUAGAAAUACAAGGAGUUCUGCUACCCGCAUAAGAAGCUUCUAAGACAAUACUAAAAGAGAGGAAUUCAAAAUGUUCAUCUUUGGAGGAGGGAAAGCAAUGUUCCCAAAAAUGAAGAAACCUGAAUUCUAACCUGGCUCUGACACUCCUGCUCUGCAGCUUCUGAGAAGUCAUUUGCCUCUGGAGGCUUCAGUGUUCCCUUUUGUAAAAUGGGAGCAAUUGAAUAAGAGUGUCCCUUAACUUUUCCAGACUUAACAUUAAAAGACCGAAUGUGAUCACUAAGAAGGACUAGAUUAUUUUAAGAAUCUUAGUGUAUAGUGUCA
rnacentral:lncRNA from 1 species